rnacentral:rRNA from 1 species
UACGAAGGGGGCUAGCGUUGCUCGGAAUCACUGGGCGUAAAGCGCACGUAGGCGGCUUGCUAAGUCAGGGGUGAAAUCCUGGAGCUCAACUCCAGAACUGCCUUUGAUACUGGCGUCCUUGAGUCCGGGAGAGGUGAGUGGAACUGCGAGUGUAGAGGUGAAAUUCGUAGAUAUUCGCAAGAACACCAGUGGCGAAGGCGGCUCACUGGCCCGGUACUGACGCUGAGGUGCGAAAGCGUGGGGAGCAAACAGG